CACAGCGGGUGGGUAGGGCGGCUGGAGUCAGCAGGUCAUGAGAGGCCCGUGGACUCGGGCUUAGGGCGGCAUGGACACCCUGCCGCCUGGCCCGUGGCGACGGCGGAGGCCGGAGGAGCUGCAGGUUCCGGGGGACGCGAAGCGGGUGUGCAGGAGAUCGGAAGCGGCGCUGGGCUGCCCCCUGGGGAAGGGCGGCGCCCCCGCGUCCUGGAGCAGCGGCGAGGGGCUGCCGGACGGCGGGCAGUGGUGGCCACGCGCGGGGAUGCCACUGAGCGACGGGAGGAGCCCGGCCCAGCCGUGCCCGAGGUGCGCCGCGGGAGAGCCCCAACCGGCACACAAAUGUGCGGAGCAGCCUGACUCACGGAAUGGCCCCAGACAGGAAGCCGCCCAGAUGGUCUCCAACAGUGCUGCUAUCCGCAAGGGACACUGAGUUCCAGAUUCCUCAGGAAGCCUCUCCUCAUGCCCCGCGCUCUGGGACCACGGUAAUCUUACAAGCAGGAUCACUCCCCAUGUACAGAUCGCCAUUGUGGUUCACAGACUAGAAUUUUCCGGCCCAGAGUAGCACCUUUUUCUCGAGGCCACUUAAAGCGGACCUCCAGGAACGUUACAUGAGUCCGUUGCUAGACACUGAUAAGCCCCCAGAUUUCAGCAGCUGAAAACGGUUUACUGCUCACUCACGUAACAUUCCAAUGAAGAUUUGCUUGGUGGGGUAACUUCCUCCAUGCGGUGACCUGGGGGCCCAGGCCCCUUCCAGCUUGUGGCUCUGCUGUCUUGUGAGCCUGGAGACCUUGGAGUCCAACCAGGGGAAGGUUGAAGAGACUGAAGAAGGCAUACAUGAUCUUAAAUGCUCAACUCGGAGGACACACAUUUCACCUCUACGCCGCUCCGUGGAGAGACAUGGCCACCCCAGGAUGCGAGCGGAGGGUCUCUCCUACAUAUACAACCAGAGACCGCCCCUCCCCAGAGCAGCUGCCGCAGCCAGAACUGAAUUACAGAAUCCUAUUGAAAGAAACCUCAAGGCUCGGGGAGGAGCCAGGCCUCCGAGUCGCAGUGGCGGCCUCCUCUCAUUGCCCCGCCUCCUUUCCUUUGGGUCCACUCCUCGCCAGGCAAUUUGGGAAUGGAUACUGACCUACCAAAGGACCCCAUCCUCCCGGGACCACUGCAUUUGGUUUGUGGCUGGUCAUGUGAGCCAACCCAGACUGAUCUGCAAUCUCCCUGGGGUUUUUAAGGCAGCAAGAGGUGCGGAGGGACCACAAAGUUCCGGGCAGAAGACCCAAUUCUGUCUUCCUGCUCUAUUGACGCGCGCAUGUGCGCGUGUGUGUGCGUGCGUGUGCGUGUGCAUGCGUGUGCGUGCGUGCGUGUGUGUGUGUGUGUGUGUGAACCCUUCCAUAACACCAGGUCUCUAAGGUUGAAUCCUACCUGCAUUAAUUCAACGACUGUUUGCUGAUCUCACAUGCUGCGUCCAGCCCCGUGCUAAGAGCUUCCCAGCCGGACGAAGAGAACAGGUGAGGCCCAGCUUCAGGAGCUCCCCACACAGGAGAUCCAUGCACGGACGUGUCUUGUGCCAGACUGAUAGGCCAGCAAAAAAGGACGAUUCCUGAAACCAUUUGGGCUCUGAGAAUGGCCAGGACUGAGUUCUGGCCUCUGAGAUGCGGCCCUCCAUCGCUCCGUGGACUGGGGCUAACCGGCCGAGGUUAAAGCCUCACCUUGUCUCACGCUUAAAAUAUUGGAUGGCUAGUUGGGGCCACGAGGCACGUUGCUCAUUAUGGACAAAGGAGACAGACGUAAAUAUUGAAAGAGGUUGGGACAUGAUGUUUGUUUCCAGGGACAGCGGUCAGUGACAGAGCCCACGCGUGUGGACGGUGGCAGAUGAGAGGGACAUUGGUUUGUGUGAGAGCUGUUAGAGCCACGGAGCCCUCCUCGGUGCAGACGUCCCAGGGCUGCACGCCCUCACCGGCUAAGCCCCAACACCAUGCGAGCUGGGCCGUGAGCACUCGGCCUAAAUUAGUAUUUGUGGGCGCAAGGAGGGCAGUGAAAGGGGCAGUAAUCAGGUAGCCGGUAAGUGAGGCCCAGAAAAAAUCGGCGAUCUGUUCUAGUAAGUUAAGGGUGAUUCUACACUGUUAUUUGUAUAUGAAGAUGGCGUCACGGUCUCCCGUCGGCCACCAAACUCUUGCACAUGGGUUUCCUCAAACUGUCCCAUCUGAUUGCAUCGUUUCCUCGAUGAUCUAUGUGACGCAUCCUAUUCCUCUCCUGGGCCUCUGAGAUCAUGAACAAUUGCCUACGUGGCUAAAUGUUCUCCAUUCAUUUCUCGUCCCCAUAAAAACAAACAAACCAACCAACCCUUGAGGACCACGAAGAGUUAAGGCCGGGGCUCCGUUCUGCAGGUGCGUUUGGAGGAAGGAGGCACAGGACGACACCUCUGGGGGCAGGGGGCAGGUGAGAGGAGGAGGGUUGGAGAAGGAAGGGCCACCGCUCCAUCACUACGGGAUCCGCUCCGUCCUUAGCCUCUUCCUCGGCAUUCCACAGGCCAUCUGGCCAAACUCGGCAAAGUCCAUUUCAGGGCUCCAUCAUGCAAAGUGACUUUAGGACAUUGAACACCCCCCUCGUUUGCCUCUGAGGUCACACAUGGCUGACCCAGGUGAUGGCCUGAGUCCUGGAGUCCAGCUCUGGGGUUACGGCCCAGCUUCCCGGCAGUGUUUCUAGAACAUGUCUUUUAGCUUUCCCGAGCUUGUGCCUGUCUUGGGUGCUCAGCACAUAACAUUUCAAUACAAGUGAGCCGCUAUUAAAAACAUGGGUAAUUUUAUAUCUUAAAAUAUUGCAUAUUGCCUUAAAUGGUUUCAUGCUGGCUCACAUUAAAAAUGAUUCCCAAGUGAAGAUGACAAAGGGGAAAUAUUCGUUAUUUAGUUCUUUUCUUACAUUAAGCGAUCAUAAUAAAGUACAUUUCUGGGUUGCGUU